rnacentral:misc_RNA from 1 species
AGCACACUUGCUGUGUCUUUGUGCACUUUCUCGGUUAUCUGCUCAGCUCUGAUCAGGAAACUGGUUUUGGGAGCUGAAAAAAUGGAUCAAGGGAAGCAGGUGUUCACGGUGGAUCUUCUAGAGAGGUAUGCAGCGAAGGGGAAAGGUGUAAUUACUUGCAUGGCUGCUGGAAAUGAUGUAAUUGUGAUAGGAACUAGCAAAGGAUGGGUGAUUAGACACGAUUUUGGGAUCGGUGAUUCUUAUGAUAUUGAUCUUUCUUGGGGUCGACCUGGGGAGCAAUCUAUUCACAGAGUGUUUGUUGAUCCUGGUGGAAGCCACUGUAUUGCUAUUGUGGUUGGUAGUGGAGGUGCUGAAACUUAUUAUACUCAUGCAAAGUGG